rnacentral:lncRNA from 1 species
CUGUUUUCUAGUAGGAACGCCCUCCAUCAAAGCGAGGCCCUUUGGUUGCCAGGCUACCGUGAGAAAAGAGAACUCCGAGGGGACAAUGCCGACCUUUUCCCGGAGGAUCCAGGGUCUACACUAGCUCAGUACGAAAGUGCCUCCCAGGGACCUCACAGCUAGAACCGCGCAGCGGCCCGACCUAAACGCCAGACCCGUAGCCAGGAAGGCACAGCCUGGCCCGGAGGAAGCUCAUCCUUGCUGCUCGAAAGCAAACCGUAUCCAACCGGCAGGGAGGAAGGAAACGGCUCACUGAGGGACCCAGGCUAAAACUCUGACCUCAGAUAAGCCCAGAUGAAAUCAUUCAUGAGGGAGAGGCCCUGACGGAGAAGUAGCAGGCUGAGACUACUUCAGCUAGCAGGAGAUCAGCUAGAUAGCUUAUCUAGAGAUUGCAAACACCUGCAAAUCCAUCGGCAGAUCAAAGAGAAGAAGAACAGCAAUUCUGGAAACAGAAAAACAACCACUUUCUGAAAGGGCUGCUGAACUUGGAGCUAAAGGAGUUUCCUACAUGGAGAGAUCUUGAAAACAAGCUGAAGCCAAUGCAAAGGAAAGCAGAGAGAUGGUGGACGUCUUCACCUCUGAAGCGCCUCCUAGUGCGGACGUCUUCUAGUGUGAUCACCCCAGACCAGGUCAGUAGGAGCUCCCAGGCAGAAAGGGAUUAAGAUUUUAAAACAUUAUGAAAUGAGGGAAUGAUAAUGAAGGGAGAAUAAAUAUGAAUAUGGUGUUAAA